rnacentral:rRNA from 1 species
UACGUAGGUGACAAGCGUUGUCCGGAUUUACUGGGCGUAAAGAGCGCGCAGGCGGUCGAUCAAGUCGAGUGUGAAAGCCCCCGGCUCAACUGGGGAGGGUCAUUCGAUACUGAUCGACUCGAAGGCAGGAGAGGGUAGUGGAAUUCCCGGUGUAGCGGUGAAAUGCGCAGAUAUCGGGAGGAACACCCGUAGCGAAGGCGGCACUCUGGGCCGUGACUGACGCUGAGGAGCGAAAGCGUGGGGAGCAAACAGG